rnacentral:lncRNA from 1 species
GGAGGGCAGGUGGCAUAGGCGAUUGAGGGUCCUGUAUCGAGGGGGCUGCGACGGGAGCGCUGUGUACUCACAGUCGAGUGAGACCGGCCGUCGGGCCGGGGCAGCGCAGGGCGCCGUCGGGCGCGCAGUCGCAGGGCUCAGGGCAGCGCGCCUCGCGCAGCGCUCGUGGCAGCAACGGCUGCAGCAGCAGCAGCAGCUUCAGCAGCUGCAGCGCCGAGAACCGCUGCUUCAUGGCCGGCGAACUGGGCUUCUGCGGCUUGCCAGUGUCUUGGACGGCCUCUGAGUGCGGCCCGCACCCCUCUCCCCGCCCCUUGGCCUGCCCUUCCACACACCCUUCCCUGCUGGCCCGCCCCUGCCCUCCGCCUCUUACCGCGCGCCCCGCUGAGUCUGCUCUGCCUUGACCUGCGACAGUGCCCGGUGACCCCAUCAUCUGCUUCCUGCUACUUUCCCCUGUCUUGCCCCCUACCAUCUGCAAAUGGCCCUAGCUAUAGGAGCAGAGAGAUACCAGGGUUCAUUAUGGGCAGCAAUGACGACGAUGGACAAGAAGAUAGAGGUCCUAACCCUAAUUUUCGGAGCACCAUGGAAGCCCCCUGGAUUCUAGGGAGACCUUGAGGAGAAAGAAGACUCCUGUAAAUGCCUGACAUUGAAAUUCUUGCAUGUCUAGGAGCCUGUGAACUCAAAAUGGAAAUUAAUUUGAUUUAAUGAAAAUAAAGAAGGAGAAUUGUUUUGGCAUAUCCCAGUUUCUAGACUGAGAUUCAUAAUGCUGUAGGCACUUAAAAAUUAUCAUCCAUAGAUUAAUGAGUUUACUGAGUGCCAACUCUACUCCGAACAUUAGCAAGACUUUCUGUGUGUAAAGCAAAAAGGCUUAUAUGGCCCUGCCUCAGUCUUCUGAGAACAUGUAGCCUACUUGGAGACAGAAGAUUCAAAUAGGUAGGAGGAGGUUAAUUCCUUACAAGAGGUAAUCCAUCAGGGUCUGAUAACAAGUUAAGAGCUACCCCCUGUACCUAAUUGGUAAAUGAAUGGCCUGGUCAAUGAGCAGCGAGUUCAACUGCUAUCAUAUUAAAGGGAAUUGAGAGAAAAAAGGAAAAACAAUAAGAAUUUUAUGUCUUUUGUUUUACUAAGAAUGAGUUUG